CUGCGGGUCCCCGCCCUCCUGAGCUGGCGCAGGCUGCUGCGGGCCAGAUUUGUCCAGAUAACUGCCCAUGAGGGCAGUUCAGCAGAGUCAGGUCCUUCGAAUAGGGUCCGCUACUCUGGGAGGUUUGUGUUGACUACAGACUUUGCCAAGGUGAAGGGAUCAGUGUGUUCGCUGACGUUCCGUGUUCUGAGCAGCGCGUUCUGAGUUCCAGCAUCAGGAGCCUCCAUGACCAGCCUGACCUGAGCACCUACAGGCAGCACCAGCAUGGGUACUACAAGAGGGCAUACACACUACUCAGACUAUGAUGAAAUUAAUGGCCUGAUUCUUCACCCUUGUUGGUAUCCACCAUCUCAGCCAUGCAACUUUGCACUGCUCUACUACUCAGCAGCAGGUCAAGUGCUGACCCAGCACCCCUUUGCACCAGUCUUUCAAACCCUGGCCACACUAACUAAUCAACCUGAUUGCUGUUUAUGCCAAGAUCUAGACCAUGCAAAGCAACCUGAAUUCAUUUUCAUCCCUGCUGAUGUCAGUGCCUGGUGGAACCAAUCUGGAAAAAGCAUGAAUGAUAAUAUGUGGUAUCCACAGCCAGAGAAGAAGCAACAUACGACUUCACCUGCUGGUGAGACAACUGGUCUGUAAAAACUGUGGAGAUAUCUUUUGCUCAGGGACACAUAACAACCUGAUAUGUGAAUAUGCCAGUGAAGAGGACAAGACAUGACAAUCCCCAGGCUGGAAGGUCACAGGUUCUAACCUGACUGUCUAUAAAUAAUACUGGUCUUUUUAUCUUGUGUGGUAAUAAGGUAUACAAAUGGUUCCCACUCAAAUGGUUAGGAUGCUAUAGUCUUGGCUAUCUGACACGCUCUAUUACCAAGUAUUCCACUUUAAAUUCCAGUCAAAUUACAAUCUUGGGCUCUGUUGCUCAUAAGGUUGUACCUUAUGAACAUACAAAAUGUGACAUUAUAAAAAAUCCCCUUGUAUAUCAUAACUCAAAGUUCUUUUCAAUGCUCAGGAUCCUUUAUUCAGCAUUUGGAACUUAACAGAAUUGAAAGUGCAGUCAUAAAUCUCUCCAUGGUAAUAGAAUAAGAGCUAAACAUCACCAUGUGGGCAUUGGGAACACUUCAAGCAGAGAUUAACAGCCUAGCAUCUGUUGUAAUUCAAAAUCACCACAUCCUGGAUGCUUUGAUAGCUCAACAAAGAAGAGCUUGUGCUGUUAUUUGGGGGAAAAUGUUGUUUUUGCAUAAAUCAGUCAGGGAAAACAGAGACUGAUCUACAUCUCUUAAAGAACAAGAUAAACAUUCUUCAUCAAAUUAAUGAAGUGAAACCAUUCUAUUGAACUGACCUUUUCCCAGGAAUGGGAGACUGGUUUAAUGGGGGUAUGAGGAAAUGUGCUUAGAUCUGUUCUUUUCUGCUUAUUCAUUCUCAUCCUAAUUUAUAGUCUCUUUUUUUUUGAGACAGAGUCUCACUAUGUCACCCUUGGUAGAGUGUUGUGGCAUAACAGAUCACAGCAGCCUCAAAAUCUUGGGCUGAAGCAAUUCUCUUGCCUCAGUCUCCCAAGUAGCUGGGACUACAGGUGCCCACCACAAUGCCUGGCUAUUUUUGUUGUUUUUGUUGUCACAGUUGUCAUUGUUACCUUAGCCAGCCAGGCUGGGUUCAAACUUACCAGCCUCAAUGUAUGUGUCCGGUGCCUUACCCAAGGCAGGUAUGGGUGCCACCUCUAAUUUAUACUAUUAUAUGUCUUAUCAAACAUCUUAUCUUAUUACUAAAUUGCUAACCUGCUUUCUCUCUCUCUACAUUUACCACCUCAGCUCUUAAUGUUUGAAACUUCUAGGGAAGUUCCAGACCAGAGAAAUGAAG